rnacentral:rRNA from 1 species
GGAUGGUCCCGCGUCCCAUUAGCUAGUGGGCGGGGUAAUGGCCCACCAAGGCGACGAUGGGUAGCCGGCCUGAGAGGGUGUCCGGCCACACUGGGACUGAGAUACGGCCCAGACUCCUACGGGAGGCAGCAGUCGAGAAGCUUCGGCAAUGGGCGAAAGCCUGACCGAGCGACGCCGCGUGAGCGAAGAAGGCCCUAUGGGUUGUAAAGCUCUGUCAGAUUGGGAAGAAAACCUCGCGGUUAAUACCCGUGAGGCCUGACGGUACCAUCAGAGGAAGCACCGGCUAACCCCGUGCCAGCAGCCGCGGUAAUACGGGGGGUGCAAGCGUUGUUCGGAUUCACUGGGUAUAAAGGGUGCGCAGGCGGCUUGGUAAGUCACAGGUGAAAUUCGUCGGCUCAACCGACGGACUGCCCGUGAAACUGCCUCGCUUGAGUCCGGGAGAGGAAGGUGGAAUUCCAGGUGUAGCGGUGAAAUGCGUAAAUAUCUGGAGGAACACCGGUGGCGAAGGCGGCCUUCUGGCCCGGAACUGACGCUCAGGCACGAAAGCUAGGGGAGCGAACGGGAUUAGAUACCCCGGUAGUCCUAGCCGUAAACGGUGGGUACUAGGUGUUGGAGGAUUCUACCCCUUCAGUGCCGCAGCUAAUGCAUUAA